GACGAACGCUGGCGGCGUGCUUAACACAUGCAAGUCGAACGGAAAGGCCCUGCUUUUGUGGGGUGCUCGAGUGGCGAACGGGUGAGUAACACGUGAGUAACCUGCCCUUGACUUUGGGAUAACUUCAGGAAACUGGGGCUAAUACCGGAUAGGAGCUCCUGCUGCAUGGUGGGGGUUGGAAAGUUUCGGAGGUUGGGGAUGGACUCGCGGCUUAUCAGCUUGUUGGUGGGGUAGUGGCUUACCAAGGCUUUGACGGGUAGCCGGCCUGCGAGGGUGACCGGCCACAUUGGGACUGAGAUGCGGCCCAGACUCCUACGGGAGGCAGCAGUGGGGAAUAUUGCACAAUGGGAGGAAGCCUGAUGCAGCAACGCAGCGUGCGGGAUGACGGCCUUCGGGUUGGAAACCGCUUUCGCCUGUGACGAAGCGUGAGUGACGGUAAUGGGUAAAGAGGCACCGGCUAACUACGUG
rnacentral:rRNA from 1 species